rnacentral:rRNA from 1 species
CCUACGGGUGGCAGCAGUGGGGAAUAUUGCACAAUGGGGGAAACCCUGAUGCAGCGACGCCGCGUGAGUGAAGAAGUAAUUCGUUAUGUUAAGCUCUAUCAGCAGGGAAGAAAAUGACGGUACCUGAGUACGAAGCCCCGGCUAACUACGUGCCAGCAGCCGCGGUAAUACGUAGGGGGCAAGCGUUAUCCGGAUUUACUGGGUGUAAAGGGCGCGUAGACGGCAGUGCAGGUCUGGAGUGAAAGGCGGGGGGUCAACCCCCGGACUGCCCUGGAAACUGUGCGGCUGGAGUGCAGGAGAGGUAAGUGGAAUUCGUGGUGUAGCGGUGAAAUGCGUAGAUAUUAGGAGGAACACCAGUGGCGAAGGCGGCAUACUGGACUGUAACUGACGUUGAGGCUCGAAAGCGUGGGGAGCAAACAGGAUUAGAUACCCCAGUAGUC